UACGUAGGGGGCAAGCGUUGUCCGGAAUCAUUGGGCGUAAAGAGCGUGUAGGCGGCCAGAUAAGUCCGCUGUGAAAUCUCGAGGCUCAACUUCGAGCUGUCGGUGGAAACUGUCUGGCUAGAGUCCGGAAGAGGAGAAUGGAAUUCCUGGUGUAGCGGUGAAAUGCGCAGAUAUCAGGAAGAACACCCGUGGCGAAGGCGGUUCUCUGGGACGGUACUGACGCUGGAAAACCGAAAGCUAGGGAGCAACGGG
rnacentral:rRNA from 1 species